rnacentral:rRNA from 2 species
UACGUAGGUGGCGAGCGUUGUCCGGAUUUACUGGGCGUAAAGGAUGCGUAGGCGGAUUAUUAAGUCAGAUGUGAAAUUCCCGAGCUUAACUUGGGAGCUGCAUUUGAAACUGGUAGUCUGGAGUGCAGGAGAGGUAAGUGGAAUUCCUAGUGUAGCGGUGAAAUGCGUAGAGAUUAGGAAGAACACCAGUGGCGAAGGCGACUUACUGGACUGUAACUGACGCUGAGGCAUGAAAGCGUGGGGAGCAAACAGG